rnacentral:rRNA from 1 species
UACGUAUGGUGCAAGCGUUAUCCGGAUUUACUGGGUGUAAAGGGAGCGCAGGCGGAAGGCUAAGUCUGAUGUGAAAACCCGGGGCUCAACCCCGGUACUGCAUUGGAAACUGGUCAUCUAGAGUGUCGGAGGGGUAAGUGGAAUUCCUAGUGUAGCGGUGAAAUGCGUAGAUAUUAGGAGGAACACCAGUGGCGAAGGCGGCUUACUGGACGAUAACUGACGCUGAGGCUCGAAAGCGUGGGGAGCAAACAGG